rnacentral:rRNA from 2 species
ACGACUCUCGGCAACGGAUAUCUCGGCUCACGCAUCGAUGAAGAACGUAGCAAAAUGCGAUACUUGGUGUGAAUUGCAGAAUCCCGUGAACCAUCGAGUUUUUGAACGCAAGUUGCGCCCGAAGCCAUCUGGUUGAGGGCACGUCUGCUUGGGCGUCACGC